GAAAUGCGAUAAGUAAUGUGAAUUGCAGAAUUCAGUGAAUCAUCGAAUCUUUGAACGCACAUUGCGCCCGCCAGUAUUCUGGCGGGCAUGCCUGUUCGAGCGUCAUUUCAACCAUCAAGCCCCCGGGCUUGUGUUGGGGACCUGCGGCUGCCGCAGGCCCCGAAAACCAGUGGCGGGCUCGCUGUCACACCGGGCGUAGUAGAUUUUUCGUCUCGCCCAGGGCGUGCUGCGGGUUCCGGACGUUAAAAAGCCUCUCUUUUAACCCAAGGUUGACCUCGGAUCAGGUAGGAAGACCCGCUGAACUUAAGC
rnacentral:misc_RNA from 1 species